GUCUGCCAAGAUCUACCAGUCCAAAUAGAGAGGUGUAGCCAUUACUGACAGCCUACUACCAGUGUGCAGUGCCGGGUGCUGAACUCACAGAUGGAGCGUUCCCAGCUGCAGAUGGUGUAGAUGGCCUCUCCGUUCACUGAGCUGGAGGUGCUGACGAUCGGGUUCUCUCUCCUCGUGUUCGCCCUCUUCACACUCACUGGGAUUCUCACUGAGGAACGUGUGCACUCCAACGAGAUGACUGUACGAGCACAGAGUGAGGAGCAGAUCGUCUGAUUCGAGUUUCAAGACUGAGAAUGAAAAACUUCAGAGGGCAGCAGAGGUCUCUUUUUACUUGUCGAGUGUUUUAUGAGGACAUAUCAGUCGAAGCAAUGUGUGAGAGGGAGUGAGUGUGUGUGUGUUAUCAGUUCUCAGAACAAAGUCUAAAUGGUAACCAGUGAAUGUGUGUAUGUGUGUAUGUGUGAGUGUGUGUGUAUGUCUGUGGACCUUGUUACAGGAUCCAGUAUGACUUGUUUCCAGGAUGAGGCACAAAUAAAGGAGUGGCCUAGAUGUUACACAGUAAAAAAGUCAAAUAAACAAACGCCUGUGUCUGAAAACUGUUGAAUGACGAUCGUCACCGCUGCUUUCCUUGCUCUUUGAAAUCGCGGUGAUGUGAGGACACAAAGAAGGGAUUUUAUUUUGAAGUUCAGAUCUGGAAAUACCUGCUAAGAUUUUUCCUACAGUUGUGUAGAUGGCGCUGCCGUUCAACGGUUUUGAGCUUACCUUCAUCAUCUUCGCCUUCUUCAUCGUCUCCCUCUUCAGCUUGGCUUCAAUCUGCAUCAAACCAGAAGCAAAACAUCCAGAAAACUGUGGCAGGGAAGCAAAGAAGUCACAGCCAUUAAACA